rnacentral:lncRNA from 10 species
CUUUAGUGGGUGUGACUAUAGAGAAUGCUUGGUGAGGUCAUUUGGCUUUGCUUCUACAGCCCUAUGCACUUCUGUCAGCAGGUUUUAUAUUGGACUAUGCAGUUUGACCUACAAGCUGUAGAUGGCACUUAUAGGUAAGAGCCUGCUGCUGCCAACAUGACUGGGUAUAUACUUGAUCCUUGUUUACUGGGAGAAGUUUCUCUGUUGCCUCAGGUAAUGCGCUGAUUUGUGGAGUGCACAAUGGUCUGACUCCCUGCUCAGCCCCUUCAUGGGCGGGGGUAGGGAGCCAACACUGGUGAAGCCAGACCAGGCAGGUCCACCUACGGUCCCUGAUGGCAGGCACAAGCACCAGUGCUAACUGAGAAUCCAGUAAGCUGUUGCCAAGUGCCCAAAGGCUUGCCUAGGCAGGGAGUUGGGAAACUUCCUUGACCCCAAGUUCUCUGCACAGAGAUGGAGGCAGCCUAAAUUCCUAAUCCAGGAGAGUAGGUGCUCCAGAUGCCUGGAGAUCUGCCUGGGUGUGGAACAGAGAGGGCCCCCUUGUACCAGGGUUUCUGCCCAUGAAGGAUAUGGCUCAGGCUGAUCCAGACAAGCAAGUGCUCCGAGUGCCUGGAUUUCUGCCUAGGGGUGAAGCAAAGAGGGCCCCACUGCACCAUGAUCUCAAAGGAGCAGUUGGGGCACACAGUAAUGGCACACACAGACCACCAAGGUGGUCACCAACCUGGCCCUAGCUACAAGUCUCACUGCCCAGGAGAAACUACAGCUGUAGAAGCUCUCCUCCCACCGGAGACUUGUGUUGGAAGAGAGCACAAUCCCAGAACCUACUGCUGAGGAGCUUUCCACAGUUCUGACUGUAGAGGUUCCUACCCUGCUCUAGAGGAGGUGCUCCAAUCUCCGGCCCAAGACUAAAAUUCCUGCAUGACUAUGCUGUUAGGUCGCCAAAUAAUGGCUGACUUUGUAUGCCUCCAGAUUAAAAAUGGUGUCCUGCUCUUGAUCCUGGGUCUGGAAAAAUGUCUAUAGCUUUGUCUGGUGUCUGUCCUCAGCAUCUACAACACUGUCCCCACAUUAGCUCCAGGGCUUGGAAGAAUGAAAGUGCUCUCCCUCAGCCUGGAUUGCUGAGAUCCCCGGUGGAAAGGAUCUGGGGCGUCCUUCAUGAUUCUGGUGGAUUUCCAUUUUUCUUCUUGAAUUAAACUCACAGAGUUGAUCUUUGUGCACCAUCUUGCUAUUUCCAAGUGGCUGAGGCAUGCUGAAAGCUUCCAAUCCACCAUGUUGGGAAAAAAAGGUGGGGAGUGCUUUCUUUUUUUAUUCUCUUCUUUCCUGCUUUUAAUUAGCUUUCCUUUGUUCUUUUUUUUCACUAUUAAUUGAUAAGUUUACAUUAUUUUACUAUUUUUCUCAGGUUAUCCUUAAAUUUAAUAUUUUAUAACAAAACCUACAGUCAAUUAAUUUCUAUCUUACUCUACUUCCAACCUCCAGGCAAGAAGAGAAUCAGUUCACUUUUAUUCUACCUUCCCUGGCCCUCCUCCAUUACCUCCAUUUCCUGUGACUUUCAUAGUGAUGUGGUCUGGGAUGUUAGGUGUUAGGUUCAAUAUUUUUUUCAAUUUAUAAAUAAUAAAAUCGUAUUUAAUAAAAA